AGUACUGAUGUGCAGUUUUGCUGAACUUGUGGACAAAGACUUAAAGACAGGUAGAAAAAUAAGUCCUCUUUUUGGAGCCAGAACUCACUGUUCAAUGUGGGUUUUGGUAUAUUCAUAAAGGAAUGUG
ensembl:snoRNA